ensembl:lncRNA
GUUCUUUUUUUCGUAACAGUAUAAACACUGAAAGGUGGUGGAUUGGCCAGAUGCUGGGAGAUGUGUAAAAAUAACUCAGUUGUUUGGUGGUGGCUAUUGCGGAGCUUCCACCGAUUUAGUAACAUUAGCAAGUGGUGGAGGCCAGCAGAUGCAACACGCUGGCAGGUGGAUGACGGCAGGAGGAGCAGAGACCCCAGGCGGUGAACUGAACUUCAGACGUGUGUCUUCCUCCAGUCUCAGCCUAUCUGCACCUGAGAGAUUUGGUCAUCAGCCAGUUUCCAUUUAAGCCGGAGGAAGACAUUUAUUCAAUGCUGGAUUGUUGACUAAGCUAGUUAGUAAAGAAUCCCAGGCUGAGUAAAUGUUCUCACUGAGUUGUGGACUUGUUUCUGGUGUUUCUUCUGACCAGGCCCGUGGCGAGGAUUCGAGCCUUCAGGACAUCCAGCUGUCUCAGAACCCAGUCGCAAAGAUUGUUGCUUUUCUGUGUGAUCAUGUGUCACUGUAAAUAAACACACUGUACUGAAAAUUUAAGAUUCUGCUUUUUGAGUCCUUCACUAACCAUGACAAAAAAUCAUCUGGAUUUAACAGAGGAAUGAACGAAAGAACUUAGUGAAGUCAUUCACAUGGAUCUCACCUGUCUGUCCAGCAGCUCACAUGUAUUUCAUGUAACUUUAUUCUGUUUCUAUAUCCC